AUUCUUCAGUUCAUGAGCAUGAUGACUGGGUGUUCAUGCCAUAUGCAUUAGCUAUGCCUCCCUCAAAUCUCGUUGUGAUUCAGGCACACUACCUGUCUGAUA